GCAGAGUUUGAAGCAGGAGUUUCCAGGGUACCCACAGUCCUGGACCUGGGAACCUCCCCACAGUGGGCGUGCAGCAUAGCUCCUGUAGUUCCACCCCCUGGAGUCCCUCCCUCCCACAUCUCCUCAGAUAUCCUGUCACCUGAGCCUGCAGUUAUUUGCUUCAGGAGUCAUGCUGUUAAGUGAAUACAUGGCGAUUCUCUUGCCCAUUCAUCAGAGGCAGUACCAGCACCUUCACAGUACCAGCCCCUCCUCAAGAGUCUUCACAGAGAGAAGGGCCACCCAGACUGUCCUGUUGCUUCCUUGGUCUCCAGAACAGCAGCUGCAAACCCACUGUUCCUGAAGCCCUCGCCCUCUGCUCCUGAGUGCUGUCCCCUACCUUCAGAGUCUUCCUCUUCGCUGCUGGAGUCUGCUAUGCUCUCCAGACACAAAUCUGAAAUUAUUUACAGGGAAUGCCUCUUGAUAAUGAAGAUCUAACAUGGUCCACCAUCAAGUUUUAUCUAAGGAUGAACAAGGACAUUACCAAGCUGGGAUUAUCUUUACUGCAUCAUAAUACCUUUUGGACCUGGAUAUCUACAUAUGUUUGUGAGAUGAGAAAAGGGAUAUAGCUCUGUCCAGAAAAAUAAAGGAGUCCAGAAUUUA